AUGGGAGCUGGGAUGAAGCGCUCGAGGGACGAGGAGGUAUUGUCGCUGGCGCUGGCACUGACCACGGACUCAUCGACGUCGUCUACGACUUCAGCGGACUCAGCCGGGUCACCGGCCAAGAAAGCACGGCGACGCACGAGGGGCGCCGUGGUGGCGACGUCGGGUGAGGGGGAGUUCGUGUGCAAGACGUGUGGCCGUGCCUUUGCCUCCUUCCAGGCGCUAGGCGGGCACCGGACGAGCCACCUUCGGGGCCGCCACGAGCUGGAGCUCGGUGUCGGCGUCGCCAAGGCAAUCAGAGAACGGAGAAGACGGGAGAACAAGCAGCACGAGUGCAACAUCUGCGGCAUGGGGUUCGAGACGGGCCAGGCGCUCGGGGGACACAUGAGGCGUCACCGCGAGGAGAUGGCACUGCGCGGCGGCCACGAUGGCGUAGCGCUACUGCCGGAUCAGGUGGUGACGGGGCACCAGGCCACUACCAAGCAGCCGCCCGUCUUGCUCAAGCUGUUCGUCUAG
rnacentral:rRNA from 1 species